rnacentral:rRNA from 1 species
AGCUCCAAGAGCGUAUAUUAAAGUUGUUGCAGUUAAAAGCUCGUAGUUGGAUUUCUGGUACAAUGCGCCUGGCCCGCAGCAAUAGCUUGUGGGUGCCGGUGCGCUUUUGCCAUCCUUCUAGAAAACGUUUCUGCCAUUAUGUGGUCGGAUUCGCGAUCUAGAUCUUUUACUUUGAAAAAUUAGAGUGUUUAAAGCAGGCAUUUGCUAUGAAUACAUUAGCAUGGAAUAAUAAUCUAGGACUUUCGGUUCUAUUUUGUUGGUUUCUAGAAUUGAAGUAAUGAUUGAUAGGGAUAGUUGGGGGUGCUAGUAUUGGCCGGCCAGAGGUGAAAUUCUUGGAUUCGGUCAAGACUAACUUAUGCGAAAGCAUUCACCAAGGAUGUCUUCU